rnacentral:tRNA from 1 species
GGUCUCAUGGUGUAAUGGUUAGCACUUUGGAGUUUGAGUCCAGCAAUCCGAGUUCAAGUCUUGGUAAGACCC